ACAGAUAAAUAGCGUAAAUAAAAUAGUGUCGUUUUCUAUGGUACGAUGCCUGUGAUGAAUGCGUUCAGAUGACCAGUAAAGUAAGACAAAAUACAUCGCACAAGUAGAAAUCUUAACUAGUUCAUGCUACAAGCGAUAAAGACUGUUCAAUUAUCUUCCUGUUACUGAAGGCUUAACUAUAUAAAAAGCUUUUGUUAAAGAAAUAUCGCAAAUUAAAAACAACGAUGUUCAUCAAAGUAACGUACAUCGUUUCUAAUGCCUUGCGCAUGAGUGAAACGGAAAAUCCAGAAACACGCCGGACAGAAAAAGAACGCGAAUAUUUUGCGGGGCUAGUGACGUUUGGAUCGUGAAAAUCCCCAAAAUAUGACAGUUGAUUUCGUAUUUUCAUCACAACAAACAAUCAUAAUCACAAUUUUUAGAUGGUAUAUCAGUUCUGUGAUAUUGAUUCACAUUAGGUUGUAUGUAUCUGUGGACUGGUUUUUUUUAUAUUUGUUAUUAAUAAUGACAGAAAGACAUGUGUUAACAAUAGGGGCAAUUGCCAUUUUUUUUUGUUGGAGAAAAUUCUUUACAGUUAAAUGAUGAAAGUGAAAGUCAAUUAGCCAAAUACACUGACGUCAUCCGAGGUCACCAAGAUGGCAGCGUUUGACAACUAGCCGGUUUUCUCAUAAGAGUCAAUGCUAAUAUUUUCGGAAUUCAUCUAAAUUUGAGAGUGUGACAACUGUGUUUUUAUGGUUUGGAGAAAAUGCCUACAUUUUGUGCUGUUGUGGGUUGCGCGAAUCGAAGCACCAGAAAUGCGGACAAAUUUUAUUUUCCUUUCCCAGCAAUUAGCAACAAUAAAGGUAAAUAUAGUAUACAGGAUGGGGAAAAAAGGCGGAAGCUUUGGUUAAAAGCCUUGAAACGAGUGGAUUUAACGAAGCCAAAGUAAAGUAUUCCUAUAUUUGUUCGGAUCAUUUUAUUUUAGGUAAACCUGCAGAUUUGUCGGUUGUGGACCAUCCUGAUUAUAUUCCAUCACAAAAUUUAGGAUAUCAAAAUAAAUCCACUCAAUACUUGUAAUGUUGAAAGACACAAGUCGUUUAAAAAAGAGAAAACUGAAUAAAUGGCUCUAGACUUUUGAAUGCACGAAUUUCAUUGUGGGUUAUUUUAAUUAUUCCAAAAAUAAAAAAGUUUAGAAUGGUAUUCAUUGUUAUGGUAGGGACAUCGUCUAAACACAAAUUAAAAUCACUUGCACUCAUUGUAUAAGGAUCUACGCCGUUUAAAUUGUUUAACUUUUGUACAUAUCUGCUUUUCUCUUUGACGGAAAGACAUCGUGCAUAAUCACUUAAAUUAUCCAUACUUUAAAAACAAAUUACACACCUUCACUUAAACCCGUCACAUUAACCUCAAACGAAAACAUUAAUUUCCGAUUUACCGCUUAAAACACACGGAUGUAUUUUGGGCGACGAGGAAUUCAGACCAAAACAGCGUUCUGUAUUUUUAUUUUUAUUAUGUAUUUUUAAACUCAAAUCGCCAAAAAAAAGCACCUUGAUACACAGAAAAGAUAUGAAAGAAGCUAUUCACGUGUUUAUUUUCUAGAUAAAUACCCACACUUUUAAAUAAAAUGCGAAAAUGUUAACAUUGUCGCUUAUGGAGUUUCACGCCGCUUGUCAAACGCUGAGUUCCCGCCACAGCGUGACGUCACGUGUUAUUGGCUAAUUGGUAUACUGAAUUAAAUGUGCUUGAACAGUUUAUUCGAGCUAUAAUGCGAGAAGAUUAUGGUAAGUUAAUGGCUGGUAUUCACAAAAGUGGUCUGAUGAUUCCAUCAUAUAAUCAUAUCAUUAAUUUAAACAUCUCAUCAAAAUUUGACGGUAUUCAUAAAGCAAAAUCAUUUCAUCAAUCGAUCCGGUUACUCGAUCGAGUCCACGGCCGUAUAUAACAGGUCUGCGAACUCCCAGUUUAAAAUGGUCUUUUUUGGAAGAGAUCCCAGGAGGCCACGGGAACUUAAAGUUCCUAGCGCCGUCUACUGGACACUAUGAUGAAACUAUUCACAAAGGUCGACCAAUAAUGAAUGAAAUUUGCGUAAAAAUGUCCUUGAAUGCAAGUUGUCAAAAAUGUCAGCUUUAUAGGUUAAGUUUUGUGACGUCUUUUUGAAAUAUGAGGGGGAAUAUACGUCAAAUGUCAUGUCAAACAUCAGUUGAUAGUGCAAAUAGUACAAUUAACUACCGCAUGGUGGCGGUCAUCUUAAGCUCCCACUAAAGUCACUAGAUCUACUAUUACUUUUAGAAAGUACGGCAAACUGCCUGUGGUCGGAAUUCGACAGAGAGGAACCUAACCUAUGUGUUAAACAAAGAUAGCGCGAGGCUAGUAAUUUUCGCUAUCUGUCAACGAAAGGUUGAUGUGUUUACGAUUUGAGGUUACGACAGACUGUACUAGAAUUAUUGAGUUAACGGACCGGAAAGAACACUAUUCCAGUCCCAAAGUAACUCCAGCCCUAUUCAACGAGAAAGUGUCACCGGUAACCAGCAAACAGUCGUGGAAGACGUGUUACCACCAAGGCAAUUGACGGCCAAAUGACAGUAACAGGAUCGCCAUACUGGAAGCAAAAAAUACCUGCUGUCGAAAAGACGGAGCAUAACAAGGACACAUCACAGCUCCCACUAAUGUGACUCGAUCUUGAAAUGUGUGGCAAUUAGUAACUUUUAUGAAAUAGAAAUAUAUCUGUGUCCUUGUUAUGCGCCGUCUUUUCGAUAGCAGGUAUUUUUUGCUUCCAGUAUGGCGAUCCUGUUACUGUCAUUUGGCCGUCAAUUGCCUUGGUGGUAACACGUCUUCCACGACUGUUUGCUGGUUACCGGUGACACUUUCUCGUUGAAUAGGGCUGGAGUUACUUUGGGACUGGAAUAGUGUUCUUUCCGGUCCGUUAACUCAAUAAUUCUAGUACAGUCUGUCGUAACCUCAAAUCGUAAACACAUCAAACUUUCGUUGACAGAUAGCGAAAAUUACUAGCCUCGCGCUAUCUUUGUUUAACACAUAGGUUAGGUUCCUCUCUGUCGAAUUCCGACCACAGGCAGUUUGCCGUACUUUCUAAAAGUAAUAGUAGAUCUAGUGACUUUAGCUCCCACAACCUACUACGAUACCGGUUUUUAAGCGCCCGUUUUAUGAAAAUUUAUGAAUGGAGUUGAAACACCUUACUUAUACCACCGUGAUCGAGUCCAUCAAUAAAAGUACGCUUGGCAACACUGCACAAUUGCAUCAGAUUGACAUUUGCCGACACGCCGGCAGCCAGUUUGUGGUUAUGUUUGUUGAUUGUUGAUCUUCUCCCGGGCUUUUGUUAGAAUUUGUUUGUGUCGAAAAAUGGAUUCGAAGACUAACGGAAGAAAAAAUUAUACCGACCGUGAGAAAACACUUUUUGCGGAUAUUAUAGCAUCUACGAAGACCAAAAGAAAGGCAAGGAAAUCGUUUCUUCUGCUGGAGUCCUAGGAUGCAAAAGUGGUGUCAACAAAAAUAAUUUGCAUGGGUAACCGCUGUCCCCCAACAGAAAAUUGUUAGCUCCAUGCCUUCCACCUUGAAAAUUCACGGGCAAAGGACCAUCAUUAAAAAUAGUGGCGUCAUGAACUGACCCAGGCCAGCCUGCAACAAUGUGCCUAAUUAUUAAGUGGGCAUCGCAGACAGCUUCCACAUUUAUUGAAAAGUAGCCUUUUCUGUUUCUAUACAAUUCGGCGUUUUCGCCUCCUGGAGAAGUGAUUUUUAUGUGGGUGCAAUCUAUAGCACCCACAACUCUGGGAAAGUUUGCAAUGCCAUAAAAAUCAGAGCAAACUUGUACUGACUCGUUAGGAUCUGGCAUUCUAAUUUCAAUGUUGCUUCUAUGAGCAAUGCAGCGCGUAAUUCUGGCUAUUAUUCUAGAGACCGAAGGUUGUGAGAUGUGUAUAUGAUCUCCUAAGCAGUUCUGAAAUGCUCCAGUUGCAUAAAACCUAAGCGUGAUCAAUAAUUGAUUCAAGGGACUUAUGGCUUUGUUUCGCUUUGAAGCUGGUGUAAUUAGAUGUUCAAAUCUGCGUAAUAUCUCAAGAACUGUUUCUUUUCUAAAUUUAAAUCUCAUACGGAAAUCUGUUGCGUCAAAUUCUAUGAAUGGAUCUGACCUAUCGCAAAUGUGCCUGAUCCGCCUAUUUCUUCUUGGUUGCUCAUUAUCCUCCUCAGAAGACAGCGAAGACAAUGAUGUAAUGUCAGACAUUUUACGGUAUCUAAAAUUCUAAAAAUUUCGUUUUUUGUUUAAAUGUUAUUUAAAAAUUGUAAUAAUUGUAAAAAAUGUUCUGUUUAAUUACCUCGUAAUUAAAUAAAAUGUAACUUCUUCAAAAAUCACAAGAAAAGGAAGACGAAGUUAUUUUAAUCGCUCGGUUGUCACUGAUUAGCUAAUGGCUUCAUCAAAUCAACAUUUAAUCGAGUUCAUCAUGUGAUGAGCUAUUGUGAAUACGAAAAUGGGAUUUAAUCAAUACGAUUAAGAACAUUCCGUUACUUGACGACAUGUUAGAUGAUGACUCCAUCAAUGUGACAGUUUCGUCAAUUGAUGGUGUCAUCAACGUUUAAUCAACAUGAUUAAUUUUUAAUCAGGCUUUGUGAAUACCAGCCAAUAUUAUGUAUAUUGAUAAAUUCUGUAUCAAGUAAAAUUAUGACGUAUUUUGUUUUAUUAUGCAUAGAUAUUCCUUAGGAGAGGCAACAUGUGAAACCCCAAGAGGUGUAUUUGUAUGUCACCAUAUGGCUACACCUGCCCCUACACGGACGUUAUAAUGUAUGCAUUUUGGACCAAUAAUUUGCGUGCUUGGGACGUACAUCUGAAGAAAAGUGAAUCAGCUGAAGUCAGAGUUGUUGUCUCUGAAAAUUCUUUUAAUCCCCAAGUCAGCCUAAAAACAGCUAAUGUUGAGGUACAACUUCAUGAAAGCUUACGACAAACUGAUGGCAGCGAAGCACUGCUUUGGCUAUUGGGCCUUGAACCAGAAAGAUCUGAAGAAAACCUACUUCGAAGAACUAUUAGUGUCCGAGGACUAUUUAAAUGGCCCAUCAAGAUAACAGUUUGUGGGUCAGUUUUUCACCAAAAGUGAAUCAGAUUAUUUUGCAUUAGGAAGUGCAAUUUUUUAU